UUACAUGUGAAUUUGACAACAACAAGGCAUUGUCUUAGUUUUAAGGCAAUUUCAUUGACAACAUUCUACAAAAAACGCUUUACUCUUCCCCUCUCAGAUCAGCUGAGUUCCGAGCUACGAACAAGCAACCAUUGCCUGGGCUACCUGUGCUCCUUCCCAGCGCGGUCAAGCGUAACUAAUCGUACAACGGCGUCGGUCAAGGAUGCUUGUGGCUACUUUCUCGUUUUAAAAUACGGCUAGCGGCCAGGUAAAAUGAUUUAGCUCGGAAGUUUUGCCGCACAUCGGAUGUAAAACCAACCAAGGACUACCUGAGUGCCAUGAUUGAUUAUAAAGGCUGGAAGGCAUAAUAAUAGGCAAAUAUUGAGAUAAUAUAGUAGGGGAUUUCUUACUUUUAUACAACAGUAUAAGCUUGGAUGUAAAUAAGCUUGUUACGAUUAAUAAGCUUGUUAUUUACAUCCUUGGAUGUAAAUAAGCUUGUUACGAUUCACCUUCUUCAGUCUGCCCUGAAGAAGUCCUAUCAAAGACGAAAAUUUGGCAGAGCCGAUUUCCAGUUUUUGGUGUAUUAUAUCUUUGGAAUGCUGUUUCAUUCAUUAUUUGUUUCUUUGCAAGGGCAAAGCUGGUCAGAAUGUAGCUUUGAUAAAAGUUCUAUACUUCUAUAAAAGGAAGAGGUUUUUAUUAGAUCAAAGUACUUAAAUUAUAUAAAGAUAACAACAAACUUGUGCUUUUUCAAUAAUAAAUUUGUAAAGAAAACA